GUGGGAGGGGGCUUGCCCCCGAUGGCGGCGUGUCAGUUGGCUUAUCCAUGACUGAACCAACCUGAUCGGGGGCAAGCCCCCUCCCAC
rnacentral:misc_RNA from 1 species